UUAAGCAUAUCAAUAAGCGGAGGAAAAGAAACCAACAGGGAUUGCCCUAGUAACGGCGAGUGAAGCGGCAACAGCUCAAAUUUGAAAUCUGGCGCAAGCCCGAGUUGUAAUUUGUAGAGGAUGCUUCUGGGUAGCGGCCGGUCUAAGUUCCUUGGAACAGGACGUCAUAGAGGGUGAGAAUCCCGUAUGUGACUGGCUUGCACCCUCCACGUAGCUCCUUCGACGAGUCGAGUUGUUUGGGAAUGCAGCUCUAAAUGGGAGGUAAAUUUCUUCUAAAGCUAAAUACCGGCCAGAGACCGAUAGCGCACAAGUAGAGUGAUCGAAAGAUGAAAAGCACUUUGGAAAGAGAGUUAAAAAGCACGUGAAAUUGUUGAAAGGGAAGCGCCCGCAACCAGACUUUGCGGCAGUGUUCGGCCGGUCUUCUGACCGGUUUACUCGCUGUCGUGAGGCCAUCAUCGUCUGGGACCGCUGGAUAAGACCUUAGGAAUGUAGCUCCCCUCGGGGAGUGUUAUAGCCUCUGGUGAUGCAGCGCGUCUCGGGCGAGGUCCGCGCUUCGGCAAGGAUGAUGGCGUAAUGGUUGUCGGCGGCCCGUCUUGAAACACGGACCAAGGAGUCUAACAUCUAUGCGAGUGUUCGGGUGUCAAACCCCUACGCGUAAUGAAAGUGAACGGAGGUGGGAACUUUUUGUGCACCAUCGACCGAUCCUGAUGUCCUCGGAUGGAUUUGAGUAAGAGCAUAGCUGUUGGGACCCGAAAGAUGGUGAACUAUGCCUGAAUAGGGUGAAGCCAGAGGAAACUCUGGUGGAGGCUCGCAGCGGUUCUGACGUGCAAAUCGAUCGUCAAAUUUGGGUAUAGGGGCGAAAGACUAAUCGAA
rnacentral:rRNA from 1 species